GCAGGUGUGGUGUAAAGGCUGGCAUUUAAGGCUCAUAACCUUAAGAUAGGGUUCGAGUCCCUGCCUGCCA
rnacentral:tRNA from 1 species